rnacentral:rRNA from 1 species
GUUAAGCGACUAAGCGUACACGGUGGAUGCCCUGGCAGUCAGAGGCGAUGAAGGACGUGCUAAUCUGCGAUAAGCGUCGGUAAGGUGAUAUGAACCGUUAUAACCGGCGAUUUCCGAAUGGGGAAACCCAGUGUGAUUCGUCACACUAUCAUUAACUGAAUCCAUAGGUUAAUGAGGCGAACCGGGGGAACUGAAACAUCUAAGUACCCCGAGGAAAAGAAAUCAACCGAGAUUCCCCCAGUAGCGGCGAGCGAACGGGGAGCAGCCCAGAGCCUGAAUCAGUGUGUGUGUUAGUGGAAGCGUCUGGAAAGGCGCGCGAUACAGGGUGACAGCCCCGUACACAAAAAUGCACAUACUGUGAGCUCGAUGAGUAGGGCGGGACACGUGGUAUCCUGUCUGAAUAUGGGGGG